AGCGAACGCUGGCGGCAGGCCUAACACAUGCAAGUCGAGCGCCCAGCAAUGGGAGCGGCAGACGGGUGAGUAACGCGUGGGGAUGUGCCCAAUGGUGCGGAAUAACCCAGGGAAACUUGGAUUAAUACCGCAUGUGCCCUUCGGGGGAAAGAUUUAUCGCCAUUGGAUCAACCCGCGUCUGAUUAGCUAGUUGGUGAGGUAAAGGCUCACCAAGGCGACGAUCAGUAGCUGGUCUGAGAGGAUGAUCAGCCACACUGGGACUGAGACACGGCCCAGACUCCUACGGGAGGCAGCAGUGGGGAAUAUUGGACAAUGGGCGCAAGCCUGAUCCAGCCAUGCCGCGUGAGUGAUGAAGGCCUUAGGGUUGUAAAGCUCUUUCGCCGGUGAAGAUAAUGACGGUAACCGGAGAAGAAGCCCCGGCUAACUUCGUGCCAGCAGCCGCAGUAACAC
rnacentral:rRNA from 1 species